rnacentral:rRNA from 1 species
UACGUAGGGUGCAAGCGUUGUCCGGAAUUAUUGGGCGUAAAGGGCUCGUAGGCGGUCCGUCACGUCGGGAGUGAAAACUUGGGGCUUAACCCCAAGCCUGCUUCCGAUACGGGCGGACUAGAGGUAGGCAGGGGAGAACGGAAUUCCUGGUGUAGCGGUGAAAUGCGUAGAUAUCAAGAGGAACACCUGAGGUGAAGACGGGUUGCUGGGCUGACACUGACGCUGAGGCGCGAAAGCUAGGGUAGCAAACGGG